rnacentral:rRNA from 1 species
UGAAUACGAGACGCUACGGCGUCGAAGCAGUCUAUGUCAUACUUCCAAGAAAAGCUUGCACUGUCAUAAACAAAUAAUGCCUGUACCAUAACCGACACAGGUGGGUAGGUAGAGUAUACUAAGGGGCGCGAGAUAACUCUCUCUAAGGAACUCGGCAAAAUGACUCCGUAACUUCGGGAGAAGGAGUGCCUUAUUUAUAAGGUUGCAAUAACAAGAUCCAAGCAACUGUUUAUCAAAAACACAGGUCUCCGCUAAGUCGUAAGACGAUGUAUGGGGGCUGACGCCUGCCCAGUGCCAGAAGGUUAAAGAAGUUGGUUAGCAUUAGCGAAGCUGAUAACUGAAGCCCUGGUGAACGGCGGCCGUAACAAUAACGGUCCUAAGGUAGCGAAAUUCCUUGUCGGGUAAGUUCCGACCCGCACGAAAGGCGUAAUGAUUUGGAUACUGUCUCGGAGAGGGGCUCGGUGAAAUAGACUUGUCUGUGAAGAUGCGGACUACCUGCACCUGGACAGAAAGACCCUAUGAAGCUUUACUGUAACCUGAAAUUGAAAUUGGACUUUAUUUGCGCAGUAUAGGUGGGAGGCGUUGAGAAUAUUCUUGCGGGAAUAUUGGAGCCAUCAGUGAGAUACCACUCUUGUAAUGUUAGAUUUCUAACUUUGAAUCAUUAUCUGGUCAAAGAACAGUUUCAGGCGGGCAGUUUGACUGGGGCGGUCGCCUCCUAAAUGGUAACGGAGGCGCACAAAGGUUUCCUCUGAACGGGUAGAAAUCGUAUCUAGAGUGUAAAGGCAUAAGGAAGCUUGACUGUGAGACCUACAAGUCGAGCAGGGACGAAAGUCGGUCUUAGUGAUCUGACGGUGCUGAGUGGAAAGGCCGUCACUCAACGAAUAAAAGUUACUCUAGGAUAACAGGCUGAUCUCCCCCAAGAGUUCACAUCGACGGGGAGGUUUGGCACCUCGAUGUCGGCUCAUCGCAUCCUGGGGCGGUAGUACGUCCCAAGGGUUGGGCUGUUCGCCCAUGAAAGCGGUACGCGAGCUGGGUUCAGAACGUCGUGAGACAGUUCGGUCCAUAUCCGGUGUAGGCGUUAGAAUAUUGAGAGGAGCCUUCUUUAGUACGAGAGGACCGAGAAGGACAUACCUCUGGUGUACCAGUUAUCGUGCCAACGGUAAACGCUGGGUAGCUAUGUAUGGAGAGGAUAACCGCUGAAAGCAUCUAAGUGGGAAGCCCACCUCAAGAUAAGUAUUC